UACGGAGGGGGCUAGCGUUGUUCGGAAUUACUGGGCGGAAAGCGCACGUAGGCGGAUUCCUAAGUCGGGGGUGAAAUCCUGGAGCUUAACUCCAGAACUGCCUUCGAUAGUGGGAAUCUUGAGUCCGGGAGAGGUGAGUGGAACUGCGAGUGUAGAGGUGAAAUUCGUAGAUAUUCGCAAGAACACCAGUGGCGAAGGCGGCUCACUGGCCCGGUACUGACGCUGAGGUGCGAAAGCGUGGGGAGCAAACAGG
rnacentral:rRNA from 1 species